rnacentral:lncRNA from 1 species
GAAGGCUUUUCUGUGUGCCUGUGUCCAGGUACAGCCCCCUGGAGGAUGUCAGAAUCAACCUGCCCAAGCCAUUAGCUGGUGUGGUACAAAGCUGCAUCAUUUCUGCCUGGAGGAAGGCUUUUCUCACGUUAGUUUCAAGACUGUUCAUGCCAGAUGCCUGUGUAGCUCCCUGAGCUCCUCCCUCUCCAGGAUGAAGUAAAUCAUUUGUGGUUGCACAUUCUUGCCUAACUGUAGACAAUGCCACAAUUCUCUCCUUAUCUUCCUAAUUUCAACCCUUUUUGUCUUUUUAACCAGAGGUGGUGGAAAAAAAGAGUCCUUUCCAUCCUCCAGGGAGACAGUCAAAGAGUCUUUCUUCUAUCACUGACUGACAUGUGUGACUUGUCCUAGAAGAAAUGGUUCUGUGUUUGGCUUUGGACAUGGGUUUCCUCCUCCUCCUCCUCUCUGCAGUGAGGAUGAUUUGUCCCCUCUUUAAAAACAUCAGGAGAAGAUGCACAGACAGUCUUGUCACGCUAACCUUGUGACAAAGUAGAGUCACCAUACAGGAAAGCCACGCUGAGCUGAAUUCUCCAGGCCUGUCUCAGCCUGUUGCUGCCUUUCUGUGGAUCCUUUGCUGCCACACCACCAGAAGGGACCAGGCAGAGGAAUCCAGGCCCUUUCUUUCUUCUGGCUGGGAGCACCCGAAUAACGAAGGACCUGCUCCAGCAGGAAAGAGUACCCAUGUCCAUCCCAUACCCCUGACAGCUCAGCCCCGAUUGCUCAUCUGUUUCCAAGUACAGCUGAGACAUUUUGCUGGUGGGCAGAGAAGUCAGGGACUCUGCAUCCAGCACCCUGCAGCAGAGGAAGCAUUAGUAUUGCUGUUGUUAGCCUUGUUAUUUUCUCCUAAUAAAAAGGUGGUCGUGACUCACUCCAUU